AGAUGAAAACCAAAUAGGAGAUACAUGGAUGCACUAUACGCUUAAAGUCUUUUGUAAAGAUGUAAGUUUUUUCUUAAGACGAUGGCACGAUUUACAUGGA